CCUACGGGAGGCAGCAGUAGGGAAUCUUUCACAAUGGGCGAAAGCCUGAUGGAGCAACGCCGCGUGCAGGAUGAAGGCCUUCGGGUUGUAAACUGCUUUUAUAAGCGAGAAAUAUGAUGGUAACUUAUGAAUAAGGAUCGGCUAACUACGUGCCAGCAGCCGCGGUCAUACGUAGGAUCCGGGCAUUAUCCGGAGUGACUGGGUGUAAAGAGUUGCGUAGGUGGCCUAAUAAGUAGCUAGUGAAAUCUGGUGGCUCAACAAUUCAGACUAUUAGCUAAACUGUUAAGCUCGAGACCGUUAGGGGUAACUGGAAUUUCUAGUGUAGGAGUGAAAUCCGUAGAUAUUAGAAGGAACACCAAUAGCGUAGGCAGGUUGCUGGGACGGUUCUGACACUAAGGCACGAAAGCGUAGGGAGCAAACGGGAUUAGAUACCCCUGUAGUC
rnacentral:rRNA from 1 species